CCUACGGAUGGCUGCAGUGGGGAAUAUUGGGCAAUGGGCGCAAGCCUGACCCAGCAACGCCGCGUGAAGGAAGAAGGCUUUCGGGUUGUAAACUUCUUUUGUCAGGGACGAAGCAAGUGACGGUACCUGACGAAUAAGCCACGGCUAACUACGUGCCAGCAGCCGCGGUAUUACGUAGGGGGCAAGCGUUAUCCGGAUUUACUGGGUGUAAAGGUCGUGUAGGCGGGACUGCAAGUCAGAUGUGAAAACCACGGGCUCAACCUGUGGCCUGCAGUUGAAACUGUAGUUCUUGAGUACUGGAGAGGCAGACGGAAUUCGUAGUGUAGCGGUGAAAUGCGUAGAUAUUAGGAGGAACACCAGUGGCGAAGGCGGUCGGCUGGACAGCAACUGACGCUGAGGCGCGAAAGCGUGGGGAGCAAACAGGAUUAGAUACCCGGGUAGUC
rnacentral:rRNA from 1 species